GACAGAGGUGGCAAGCGUUGUCCGGAUUUAUUGGGUUUAAAGGGUGCGUAGGCGGUUUCAUAAGUCAGUGGUGAAAUACGGCAGCUCAACUGUCGAGGUGCCAUUGAUACUGUGAGACUUGAGUACAGACGAGGUAGGCGGAAUUGACGGUGUAGCGGUGAAAUGCUUAGAUAUCGUCAAGAACACCGAUAGCGAAGGCAGCUUACUAGGCUGUAACUGACGCUGAGGCACGAAAGUGUGGGGAUCAAACAGG
rnacentral:rRNA from 1 species